CCUACGGGAGGCAGCAGUGGGGAAUCUUGCGCAAUGGGCGAAAGCCUGACGCAGCAACGCCGCGUGCGGGAUGACGGCCUUCGGGUUGUAAACCGCUUUCAGUGGGGACGAACCAAGACGGUACCCACAGAAGAAGCCCCGGCCAACUACGUGCCAGCAGCCGCGGUAACACGUAGGGGGCGAGCGUUGUCCGGAUUUAUUGGGCGUAAAGAGCUCGUAGGCGGUUCGAUAAGUCGGGUGUGAAACCUCCAGGCUCAACCUGGAGACGCCACCCGAUACUGUCGUGACUAGAGUCCAGUAGGGGAGCGUGGAAUUCCUGGUGUAGCGGUGAAAUGCGCAGAUAUCAGGAGGAACACCAGUGGCGAAGGCGGCGCUCUGGGCUGGAACUGACGCUGAGGAGCGAAAGCGUGGGGAGCGAACAGGAUUAGAUACCCUGGUAGUCCACGCCGUAAACGUUGGGUACUAGGUGUGGGGUCUUAUCAACGGAUUCCGUGCCGCAGCUACGACAUAAGUACCCGUCCGUCGGGUAGGUACGGCCGCGACGACGUAAACGUACGAAACGAAAGUAGACGGCGNGAGAACGUGCGACGACGACGACGAGGGAGGAGG
rnacentral:rRNA from 1 species